CCUACGGGUGGCUGCAGUGGGGAAUAUUGGACAAUGGGCGAAAGCCUGAUCCAGCCAUGCCGCGUGUGUGAAGAAGGCCUUCGGGUUGUAAAGCACUUUCAGUGGGGAAGAAAGCCUUGGGGCUAAUACCCUCGAGGAAGGACAUCACCCACAGAAGAAGCACCGGCUAACUCCGUGCCAGCAGCCGCGGUAAUACGGAGGGUGCGAGCGUUAAUCGGAAUUACUGGGCGUAAAGCGCGCGUAGGCGGUCUGAUAAGCCGGUUGUGAAAGCCCCGGGCUCAACCUGGGAACGGCACCCGGAACUGUCAGGCUAGAGUGCGGGAGAGGAAGGUAGAAUUCCCGGUGUAGCAGUGAAAUGCGUAGAGAUCGGGAGGAAUACCAGUGGCGAAGGCGGCCUUCUGGACUGACACUGACGCUGAGGUGCGAAAGCGUGGGUAGCAAACAGGAUUAGAUACCCCAGUAGUC
rnacentral:rRNA from 1 species